rfam:Aedes albopictus isolate Foshan contig93982, whole genome shotgun sequence.
UAGCCUAGUGGUUAAGGCUAUGGAUAGCCAAUCCGGAGACGGCGGGUUCGAUUCCCGU